GAAAGUUUUUGCGGUGCAGUUUUUGCACGUAUUUGCCCCGGAGCGCUGACAGUAAACGGCGAGGAGCUGUGUGUACGAGCGUGUGCGGCUAAGUGAGUGAAGAUGGUGGAUUUGCACUGGUCCCUUGUUAAAUGUGGCACAGAAGUACAAGUAUGUUCCUGCACACUCCUCUUCAGUCAAGUAGCAGAAGAAACGCAGCACAAGCACAAGAAGACUGACAAAUAAGUGUGUGAGAGUGAGUCAGGUAGACUGGUGCCCCAUCCAAGGUGUCGCACAGCUCCACCUAUCCACUCUACUUCCUGGUAUCGGAUUCAGACCCACUCGGACUCUAAAGUGCGUUUACGUCCAACCAUCAUAAUAAACUACAGUCACUACUGCAAAAGGUUUUUGCUAGAUGUAAACAGACAUUUUUUUUUCUUUUAUUUCUAACCACCCGGCUACCUGGUGUCUUUUGAAAUCUGACAAACUUUACGCUGUGAGCCAUCAAGGUGAAAUCAUUGGUUGCAGCAGUCUAACAAAUGGGCAGGGCUUUAGGAGUUUUCCUGGUCUGUAAAACUGAUGUUAAACUGGUUAGUUACAAAUGAUUGACUAAUUUAGGUGGGGUAUCUGACAGUGGCAUUGACGCUGUUCCCUGGAAUUUAAAUAUAAAUACACAAACACUAACCUGUGCAAACUUUGGGCAUAAGACGUCGCCACAUUGAUUAUAGACCUGAUUUGAUGAUGUGGGGGAAAUCUCGGU